rnacentral:tRNA from 1 species
GAGGGCAUAGCUCAGUGGUAGAACGCCUGCCUAGCAUGCAUGAGGUCCUGGGUUCAAUCCCCAGUACCUCCA